rnacentral:lncRNA from 1 species
CUCCCCCCAUUUGAAGACUGUAUUACUGUUCCGUUAAUUUUGAAUUCUAUUUUUGUUUCAGAGACUGGGCAAAAAAGAACCUCCUGGAAGGAAGUAUUUUAACCUUCUUAAGCUGUGGUGAAAAAUGCAGUCAAUUAAUAUGUUCAGACGUAUGUAUGCUCUUCAAGAAAAACUGAGAUAUAUGCUCGGUACAGAUACCAAGGUUCAAUAAACCAAUAUUUUUGAUACUAAUAAAAGAUGAUGAUAUGCCAAGGCAGAAGGUGAAAAUGUUCAAUAUUAAUGUGCAUCUAUCUGAAAAAUGGAAAAUAAAGCCCUGUACUGAAGCCAGAAGAAUAAGAAAAGCCUCUGAAUCACUCUGACCAGUGUACUCAGAGCUUGCAACAGGCUAUCAAUAUUUCCAGGAACUGUAAUUCCAGGAGUUUUUGACUUAUCUUUACUGUAAAAGUGUAGGUCUGUUACAAUUUGUGUCUUUAGUCUGACUGGUCCUGGGGUGGGAGAAGAAGGUGGCAUGUAUGUCUUGAAGCACUGUUGGGAAGGACUGUGAGAAGACUGUGUUUGAUCUGUGUCAGUCAGAAUGGUGCUCUAUGGUAACUGAUUUUUGUGCUACAGUGUUUGCAUGUGGAUGUCACCAAAGGAACACCUGUGAAGUGGAUAGCCCUGCCAGAACCUAGGAAAGGCAGGGUUUGUAGGCCUUUAGGUAUUUGCAAGCUCUUCCACCAAAAAUGCUUAGAAGGGGAAACGGUGAGCACGUGAGGGGCAGGAUGAUGGCAUGUCAACCUCAAUGCCUCAGCUGACAUGGAGAAUGAAUUUAGGUAACAGUGGUCCUGCCUGUGAAUGCUCUUC